AGGCGUGGAAUACAAACAUUACAGACCGGCAAUCUUCGGCUUCUAAUUUAGAUGACCUUUUAAAUGGAUAAAUAACCAAUUCCUUUGCUAUCUAGGGAAAUAAUAUCUACAACAGUGGAAUAAUUAUUUUAGAAGUUUAAAAUGCUGACACAGUGUAACCACCAUAACUCCCAGUUAAUGAGUGGAAUUCUUCACCAUCAGAAUUCUCAGUUAUCUGUGCCACGCAUUGGCCCUGCAACAGGCUUCCACUUCAGAGAUGUCUCAGUGCCGAGUGGGAAGCCAGGCUGGAAUGAUCCUCGGGUGAAAAUGGAAGCUUGGUCGAAGCCCCAUAGGAAGUUUAGAGUGAGCCUGAAUCCCAGGCCAAAGCCGUC
rnacentral:lncRNA from 1 species